CAGGCUUAACACAUGCAAGUCGAGGGGCAGCAUGGUCUUAGCUUGCUAAGGCCGAUGGCGACCGGCGCACGGGUGAGUAACACGUAUCCAACCUGCCGUCUACUCUUGGACAGCCUUCUGAAAGGAAGAUUAAUACAAGAUGGCAUCAUGAGUCCGCAUGUUCACAUGAUUAAAGGUAUUCCGGUAGACGAUGGGGAUGCGUUCCAUUAGAUAGUAGGCGGGGUAACGGCCCACCUAGUCUUCGAUGGAUAGGGGUUCUGAGAGGAAGGUCCCCCACAUUGGAACUGAGACACGGUCCAAACUCCUACGGGAGGCAGCAGUGAGGAAUAUUGGUCAAUGGGCGAGAGCCUGAACCAGCCAAGUAGCGUGAAGGAUGACUGCCCUAUGGGUUGUAAACUUCUUUUAUAAAGGAAUAAAGUCGGGUAUGCAUACCCGUUUGCAUGUACUUUAUGAAUAAGGAUCGGCUAACUCCGUGCCAGCAGCCGCGGUAAUACGGAGGAUCCGAGCGUUAUCCGGAUUUAUUGGGUUUAAAGGGAGCGUAGAUGGAUGUUUAAGUCAGUUGUGAAAGUUUGCGGCUCAACCGUAAAAUUGCAGUUGAUACUGGAUAUCUUGAGUGCAGUUGAGGCAGGCGGAAUUCGUGGUGUAGCGGUGAAAUGCUUAGAUAUCACGAAGAACUCCGAUUGCGAAGGCAGCCUGCUAAGCUGCAACUGACAUUGAGGCUCGAAAGUGUGGGUAUCAAACAGGAUUAGAUACCCUGGUAGUCCACACGGUAAACGAUGAAUACUCGCUGUUUGCGAUAUACAGCAAGCGGCCAAGCGAAAGCGUUAAGUAUUCCACCUGGGGAGUACGCCGGCAACGGUGAAACUCAAAGGAAUUGACGGGGGCCCGCACAAGCGGAGGAACAUGUGGUUUAAUUCGAUGAUACGCGAGGAACCUUACCCGGGCUUAAAUUGCAGAUGAAUUACGGUGAAAGCCGUAAGCCGCAAGGCAUCUGUGAAGGUGCUGCAUGGUUGUCGUCAGCUCGUGCCGUGAGGUGUCGGCUUAAGUGCCAUAACGAGCGCAACCCUUGUUGUCAGUUACUAACAGGUUCCGCUGAGGACUCUGACAAGACUGCCAUCGUAAGAUGUGAGGAAGGUGGGGAUGACGUCAAAUCAGCACGGCCCUUACGUCCGGGGCUACACACGUGUUACAAUGGGGGGUACAGAGGGCCGCUACCACGCGAGUGGAUGCCAAUCCCCAAAACCUCUCUCAGUUCGGACUGGAGUCUGCAACCCGACUCCACGAAGCUGGAUUCGCUAGUAAUCGCGCAUCAGCCACGGCGCGGUGAAUACGUUCCCGGGCCUUGUACACACCGCCCGUCAAGCCAUGGGAGCCGGGGGUACCUGAAGUGCGUAACCGCGAGGAGCGCCCUAGGGUAAAACUGGUGACUGG
rnacentral:rRNA from 1 species